rnacentral:rRNA from 1 species
CACUGUCACUCCUACGGGGAGGCAGCAGUGAGGAAUAUUGGACAAUGGGCGGAAGCCUGAUCCAGCCAUGCCGCGUGCAGGAAGACUGCCCUAUGGGUUGUAAACUGCUUUAUACAGGAAGAAUAAGUCCGACGUGUCGGAUGAUGACGGUACUGUAAGAAUAAGGAUCGGCUAACUCCGUGCCAGCAGCCGCGGUAAUACGGAGGAUUCGAGCGUUAUCCGGAAUCAUUGGGUUAAAGGGUUCGUAGGCGGGUUUGUAAGUCAGGGGUGAAAGUUUACGGCUCAACCGUGAAAUUGCCUUUGAUACUGCAGAUCUUGAAUAUUUGUGAAGUAACUAGAAUAUGUGGUGUAGCGGUGAAAUGCAUAGAUAUCACAUGGAAUACCGAUUGCGAAGGCAGGUUACUAACAGAUUAUUGACGCUGAUGGACGAAAGCGUGGGUAGCGAACAGGAUUAGAUACCCUGGUAG